UACGAAGGGGGCUAGCGUUGCUCGGAAUCACUGGGCGUAAAGCGCACGUAGGCGGCUUCUUAAGUCAGGGGUGAAAUCCUGGAGCUCAACUCCAGAACUGCCUUUGAUACUGAGAAGCUUGAGUUCGGGAGAGGUGAGUGGAACUGCGAGUGUAGAGGUGAAAUUCGUAGAUAUUCGGAAGAACACCAGUGGCGAAGGCGACUUACUGGACGAUUGUUGACGCUGAGGUGCGAAAGCGUGGGGAGCAAACAGG
rnacentral:rRNA from 1 species